UACGAAGGGGGCUAGCGUUGCUCGGAAUCACUGGGCGUAAAGGGCGCGUAGGCGGCCAGCACAAGUCAGUUGUGAAAUCUCCGAGCUUAACUCGGAACGGUCAACUGAUACUGUGCGGCUAGAGUGCGGAAGGGGCAACUGGAAUUCUUGGUGUAGCGGUGAAAUGCGUAGAUAUCAAGAGGAACACCUGCGGCGAAGGCGGGUUGCUGGGCCGACACUGACGCUGAGGCGCGAAAGCCAGGGGAGCGAACGGG
rnacentral:rRNA from 1 species